rnacentral:lncRNA from 1 species
GGAACUACGUCGCCCUGAUUCUCAUAUCAGAUGAGAUACGUAGGCAGGAGGUUGUGAGAAAUCUCUCCGGGCACCCUUUUUCUUUUCACCCUUUUGUUUUUUUGUGUGUGUUCACCCUUUUGUUUUGUGUGUGUUCACCCUUUUUCUUUGUUUUGUGUUCGCUUACCCUUAUUCUCGACUUAGGGAUAUUGUUUGCAUGACAACUUUUAGGCUCGAGUCUUAGUCUCCCUAUUAGUUUGUUGUUUCCCUGGUCUCUGGUUAGGAG